rnacentral:rRNA from 1 species
UACGUAGGGUGCGAGCGUUGUCCGGAAUUAUUGGGCGUAAAGAGCUCGUAGGCGGUGUGUCACGUCGGCCGUGAAAACCUGCAGCUUAACUGUGGGCGUGCGGUCGAUACGGGCAUCACUGGAGUUCGGCAGGGGAGACUGGAAUUCCUGGUGUAGCGGUGAAAUGCGCAGAUAUCAGGAGGAACACCGAUGGCGAAGGCAGGUCUCUGGGCUGACACUGACGCUCAUGCACGAAAGCGUGGGGAGCAGACAGG